rnacentral:rRNA from 1 species
CCUUUAGCAACAUUAAUAUUAAAGGUCCUGCCUGCCCAGUGAAACUUGUUUAAACGGCCGCGGUAUUCUAACCGUGCAAAGGUAGCGUAAUCACUUGUCUUCUAAAUAAAGACCAGUAUGAAUGGCUAAAUGAGGACAAACCUGUCUCCUACAUCCUAUCAGUGAAACUGAUCUUUCAGUCCAAAAGCUGAAAUAUUAACACAAGACGAGAAGACCCUGUGGAGCUUUAAACCUACUACUAACAAACCUAGUUAAGGAAACUAGUAUAAGUUUUAAGUUGGGGCGACUUCGGAACAAAACAAGACUUCCGAGCACAGAACUACUGUUUCUAAUUAGGCUGACAAGCCAAAUCAUAAGCUGACCCAGUCACACUGAACAACGAACCAAGUUACCCCAGGGAUAACAGCGCUAUCUUCUUCAAGAGUCCCUAUCGACAAGAAGGUUUACGACCUCGAUGUUGGAUCAGGACACCCAAAUGGUGCAACCGCUAUUAAAGGUUCGUUUGUUCAACGAUUAAUAGUCCUACGUGAUCUGA